UACGGAGGGGGCGAGCGUUAUUCGGAAUUAUUGGGCGUAAAGGGCGCGUAGGCGGCUGGGCAAGUCAAAGGUGAAAUCCCUCGGCUCAACUGAGGAACUGCCUUUGAAACUGCCUGGCUUGAGGCCGGGAGGGGGUAGCGGAAUUCCCAGUGUAGCGGUGAAAUGCGUAGAUAUUGGGAGGAACACCAGUGGCGAAGGCAGCGCCCUGGACGACACCUGACGCUGAGGCACGAAAGCUGGGGGAGCGAACAGG
rnacentral:rRNA from 1 species